GGUUAAGUUAGAAAGGGCGCACGGUGGAUGCCUUGGCACUAGGAGCCGAUGAAGGACGGGACGAACACCGAUAUGCUUCGGGGAGCUGUAAGCAAGCUUUGAUCCGGAGAUUUCCGAAUGGGGAAACCCACCACUCGUAAUGGAGUGGUAUCCAUAUCUGAAUACAUAGGAUAUGAGAAGGCAGACCCGGGGAACUGAAACAUCUAAGUACCCGGAGGAAGAGAAAGCAAAUGCGAUUCCCUGAGUAGCGGCGAGCGAAACGGGACCAGCCCAAACCAAGAGGCUUGCCUCUUGGGGUUGUAGGACACUCUGUACGGAGUUACAAAGGAACGAGGUAGAUGAAGAGGUCUGGAAAGGCCCGCCAUAGAAGGUAACAGCCCUGUAGUCAAAACUUCGUUCUCUCCUGAGUGGAUCCUGAGUACGGCGGAACACGUGAAAUUCCGUCGGAAUCCGGGAGGACCAUCUCCCAAGGCUAAAUACUCCCUAGUGACCGAUAGUGAACCAGUACCGUGAGGGAAAGGUGAAAAGCACCCCGGAAGGGGAGUGAAAGAGAUCCUGAAACCGUGUGCCUACAAGUAGUCAGAGCCCGUUAACGGGUGAUGGCGUGCCUUUUGUAGAAUGAACCGGCGAGUUACGAUCCCGUGCAAGGUUAAGCAGAAGAUGCGGAGCCGCAGCGAAAGCGAGUCUGAAUAGGGCGAAUGAGUACGUGGUCGUAGACCCGAAACCAGGUGAUCUACCCAUGUCCAGGGUGAAGUUCAGGUAACACUGAAUGGAGGCCCGAACCCACGCACGUUGAAAAGUGCGGGGAUGAGGUGUGGGUAGGGGUGAAAUGCCAAUCGAACCUGGAGAUAGCUGGUUCUCUCCGAAAUAGCUUUAGGGCUAGCCUCAAGGUAAGAGUCUCGGAGGUAGAGCACUGAUUGGACUAGGGGCCCCUACCGGGUUACCGAAUUCAGUCAAACUCCGAAUGCCGAUGACUUAUCCUUGGGAGUCAGACUGCGAGUGAUAAGAUCCGUAGUCGAAAGGGAAACAGCCCAGACCGCCAGCUAAGGUCCCAAAGUAUACGUUAAGUGGAAAAGGAUGUGGAGUUGCUUAGACAACCAGGAUGUUGGCUUAGAAGCAGCCACCAUUUAAAGAGUGCGUAAUAGCUCACUGGUCGAGUGACUCUGCGCCGAAAAUGUACCGGGGCUAAACGUAUCACCGAAGCUGCGGACUGUUCUUCGAACAGUGGUAGGAGAGCGUUCUAAGGGCUGUGAAGCAAGACCGGAAGGACUUGUGGAGCGCUUAGAAGUGAGAAUGCCGGUAUGAGUAGCGAAAGAGGGGUGAGAAUCCCCUCCACCGAAUGCCUAAGGUUUCCUGAGGAAGGCUCGUCCGCUCAGGGUUAGUCGGGACCUAAGCCGAGGCCGAAAGGCGUAGGCGAUGGAUAACAGGUUGAUAUUCCUGUACCACCUCCUCACCAUUUGAGCAAUGGGGGGACGCAGGAGGAUAGGGUAAGCGCGGUAUUGGAUAUCCGCGUCCAAGCAGUUAGGCUGGGAAAUAGGCAAAUCCGUUUCCCGUGAAGGCUGAGCUGUGAUGGCGAGCGAAUUAUAGUAGCGAAGUUCCUGAUUCCACACUGCCAAGAAAAGCCUCUAGCGAGGUGAGAGGUGCCCGUACCGCAAACCGACACAGGUAGGCGAGGAGAGAAUCCUAAGGUGAUCGAGAGAACUCUCGUUAAGGAACUCGGCAAAAUGACCCCGUAACUUCGGGAGAAGGGGUGCUCUGUUAGGGUGCAAGCCCGAGAGAGCCGCAGUGAAUAGGCCCAGGCGACUGUUUAGCAAAAACACAGGUCUCUGCGAAGCCGUAAGGCGAAGUAUAGGGGCUGACGCCUGCCCGGUGCUGGAAGGUUAAGAGGAGCGCUUAGCGUAAGCGAAGGUGCGAAUUGAAGCCCCAGUAAACGGCGGCCGUAACUAUAACGGUCCUAAGGUAGCGAAAUUCCUUGUCGGGUAAGUUCCGACCCGCACGAAAGGCGCAACGAUCUGGGCACUGUCUCAACGAGAGACUCGGUGAAAUUAUAGUACCUGUGAAGAUGCAGGUUACCCGCGACAGGACGGAAAGACCCCGUGGAGCUUUACUGCAGCCUGAUAUUGAAUGUUGGUACAGCUUGUACAGGAUAGGUAGGAGCCUUGGAAACCGGAGCGCCAGCUUCGGUGGAGGCAUCGGUGGGAUACUACCCUGGCUGUAUUGACCUUCUAACCCGCCGCCCUUAUCGGGCGGGGAGACAGUGUCAGGUGGGCAGUUUGACUGGGGCGGUCGCCUCCUAAAAGGUAACGGAGGCGCCCAAAGGUUCCCUCAGAAUGGUUGGAAAUCAUUCGCAGAGUGUAAAGGCACAAGGGAGCUUGACUGCGAGACCUACAAGUCGAGCAGGGACGAAAGUCGGGCUUAGUGAUCCGGUGGUUCCGCAUGGAAGGGCCAUCGCUCAACGGAUAAAAGCUACCCCGGGGAUAACAGGCUUAUCUCCCCAAGAGUCCACAUCGACGGGGAGGUUUGGCACCUCGAUGUCGGCUCAUCGCAUCCUGGGGCUGUAGUCGGUCCCAAGGGUUGGGCUGUUCGCCCAUUAAAGCGGUACGCGAGCUGGGUUCAGAACGUCGUGAGACAGUUCGGUCCCUAUCCGUCGCGGGCGCAGGAAAUUUGAGAGGAGCUGUCCUUAGUACGAGAGGACCGGGAUGGACGCACCGCUGGUGUACCAGUUGUUCUGCCAAGGGCAUCGCUGGGUAGCUAUGUGCGGACGGGAUAAGUGCUGAAAGCAUCUAAGCAUGAAGCCCCCCUCAAGAUGAGAUUUCCCAUUCCGCAAGGAAGUAAGAUCCCUGAAAGAUGAUCAGGUUGAUAGGUCUGAGGUGGAAGUGUGGCGACACAUGGAGCUGACAGAUACUAAUCGAUCGAGGACUUAACCAA
rnacentral:rRNA from 1 species